ACAUAGCCUGAUUGAGGCUAA
rnacentral:miRNA from 1 species